AGGUCUGAUAUUCUAUCUUUCUGUGAUAUAAAACUUGAACCUUGGUCUAUCAGACCUAG
rnacentral:pre_miRNA from 1 species